UCUGGUGAUGAUGGCGGAGAGGUCACACCCGUUCCCAUGCCGAACACGGAAGUUAAGCUCUUCAGCGCCGAUGGUAGUCGGGGGUUUCCCCCUGUGAGAGUAGGACAUCGCCAGGU
rnacentral:rRNA from 1 species